UACGUAGGGGGCAAGCGUUAUCCGGAUUUACUGGGUGUAAAGGGGGCAUAGGCGGCUGUGUAAGCCAGAAGUGAAAGCCCGAGGCUCAACCACGGGACUGCUUUUGGAACUACAUGGCUUGAUUGCAGGAGAGGCAAGUGGAAUUCCUAGUGUAGCGGUGAAAUGCGUAGAUAUUAGGAGGAACACCAGUGGCGAAGGCGGCUUGCUGGACUGUAAAUGACGCUGAGGCUCGAAAGCGUGGGGAGCAAACAGG
rnacentral:rRNA from 1 species